ACGCUCGACACCUACGGGAGGCAGCAGUUGGGAAUAUUGGACAAUGGAGGAAACUCUGAUCCAGUGACGCCGCGUGAAGGAAGAAGGUCUUCGGAUUGUAAACUUAUUUUGUCAGGGAAGAAAAAUGACUGUACCUGAAGAAAAGCACCGGCUAACUACGUGCCAACAGCCGCGGUAAUCUGAGGCGGGCUGGCAAGGC
rnacentral:rRNA from 1 species